UGUAGGUUGCCCGGUGGGCUUCGCUCCGGUGAGUAAUUUUAUCGCUGAGUUUUGGGUUAUCAUCGGUCGACCGAGCGCUUAAGGGUUUCUUGCUGCAUUUUGAGUUAUCGUGCGCUUAAGGGUUUCUUUCUGUUUCGUGGAUUGAUCUCGAAUUCUUGACAAAUUCGUCAAUUAUUUUCUCUUCUUCAAGGGUUACCGUUGGACCCUUGGUAGUUGAUUCGUUGGAUUUUGUUUAUCUUUGCCGGUUGCAGUUGAUUUAGAAUGAUUAGGUUUCUUCAUGAAUCCAUCCUACGUUUUACAGAAUUUGGAAAUAUUGGUUCUUCUUCGCGGGUUUCCGUUCCGGCUUUUGGUGGCUGAUUCGUUGGAUUUCUUUCAUUCUAGGCUGGAGGAGUUGAUUUGGGGUGAUCAUUGUUUAAUGUCCUGCGUUUUACAGAAUCUGGAAUUAUUGGUUCUUCUUCGUGGAUUUCCGUUCCGGCAUUUGGUGGCUGAUACGUUGGAUUUCUUUCAUCCUAGGCUGGUGCAGAUGAUUUGGGGGGAUUAUUGUUUCUUGAUGAAUACGUUUUACAGAAUCUGGAAUUAUUGGUUCUUUUUCGUGGGUUUCCGUUCCAGCCUUUGGUGGCUGAUUCGUUGGAUUUGUUUCAUCCUAGGCUGGAGCAGUUGAUUUGGGGAGAUUAUUGUUUCUUGAUGAAUCCAUCCUGCAUUUUACAGAAUCUGGAAUUGUUGGUUCUUUUUCGAGGGUUCCAUUUGAUCUUCGGCUGUCGGGUUGGUCCCUUGCUAGGGUUUCUUGCUGAAUUUGUCCUGCCCUUUUCGGAUAUGGAAUCAUUUGUUCUUCUUUCGAGGGUUUCUGUUCUAUCUGUGGUGGUUUAUUCGCUGGAUUUGGGUUGUCGUUGGAUGAAAGUGAAACACUUUGUGAGGUAUUCAACUCAUGCUUCUCAGAUUUUGGAAUUUAUUGUUCUUCUUCGAGGAUUUCUAGUUCUUGGUUCAGUUAAUUGAGGAUUUCAGGGGUGGUUUCGGGUUGAUUGUCGAAUCUAUUGUUCUCUUUGAUUCAAUUAGUGUUCUUAAGAGUUGGCUAGAUAUAUAUUUUGGCUAAGCAUUGCCGGUCUUAUAUGGUUCUGUGGAUUCCUUGUGUUCGGUUGGUGCAUGAAUCCUCUCAUUUGAUAUUGUCAUUUAUGGUUGGAGAGGCAUCGUAGUGGUUUCAUUAAGCAGCCAGAAAGUGGUUCUAGUUUUGAUGUAUUUGGCCAUGGUUUUCGAGCUUCAGGUGAUGAGAAUACCAGGUGCUACAGAGGCUGGAGUUAAGAUUGAUUUCUCAUAGGGUGGCUUCUCCACUUGAUUGUGAUAUGCAUCUUAAUUUAUGUUCAUGUAGUGUGAUUUGGCCAAUCUAGUUUGUGGCAAUGUGCGAUCCUAUUUUGCAAAGAUGUGUCGUUCGGCUGUCACAUCUCUUCAGUAUUUUGUGAUUUGUUGUUGUUGCCGGAGGGAUUGUGUUUAUGAGGAGUUAGCAUUAAUUUUACCAUAGGCUUUUGUGAUAGUGGUGAUGAGUAUCGUAUUAUAUUUCCUUCUAUUCUUUGCUGUCUGGGGUUUUCAGAACUUGUUUACCGGUGACAUUUGCAUGCAUUUUUGGUAGUUGCUUGUUUUAUAUGGUGGUCUGCUUGUGUCCUUUGGCAUAAGUGGCUGCACUUUUGCUGGGUUGUUGGUUGCUAUAUACUGUUUCCAAUCACUUCUUGAAGCAUUCCCAAGUUUGAUGUGGAUCUUCUGCUGCACGUCAAGCAAGCAAUUAGAGUUUGCAUGGCAACCCUUUUUUUCACUUGGAUAUUUUUUCAUGCAUUCAUUUAUAUAUCUGUGUACCUAUUUAUCUUUGUUAUUUAUAUUUAUUUUAUUUGGUUUAAUGUUGUUCAUUCAGGUCAUGAGAGAUUCUUCUUGUUUAGUGAUGCCCCUGUAUAGAGUACUUUGCAAGGUGGUUCGUAUUUGAAUUGCUUUAUUCUGUCAUUCUUAUUUAAUUAUAGGUUUCAUUAUUUGCCAAUUGGCUCAUAUGUUUCACUUCCAUCUUGUUUAGAAAUUUAUGGUUGGGUUAGUGAUUCUGAUAUAUGAAGUGCCAUUUUUUUCGUAUUCUUGAUGAGGUAGAUGUCAAUUAUUACUUGUUGCCGUUACUCAGGGGCUACAUUGGUGGGAUAAUCGAUAAGGCAAGUUUCCAUCAAUUUUGUAAAGGACUUGUUCUUUGAGUUAUGGUUUUUCUGCAUUUGAUAGCGAUUCUAAUUGUGUAAAUCAGCUUUUUUUUUUGAACAUUUUUUUUAGGAUGGAUGUUCGUUGCUUUCUGUAUUAUUAUUGCAGUCUUGCAACCAAGUUUCUUGGAGGUUCUUGGAGGCACUUUUUCGUGGGGGUUCUGAGGCUAUUUUACCUCUUGUUUUCCAUACAUAUGGUUGUCUACUUCCAGGUUUCUUGCUGUUUCGUAGUUAAUUCAUCGCAUUUUGAGUUCUUGUCGGUCGAUGCGCUUGAUGUGGAGUGAUCUCGAAUUUUCGAUGAAUUCGUCAAUUAUUUUCUCUUCUUCAAGGGUUUCUGUUGGACCUUUGGUAGUUGAUUCGUUGGAUUUUGUUCAUCUUUGCCGGUUGUAGUUGAUUUGGAAUGAUUAGGUUUCUUCAUGAAUCCAUCCAACGUUUUACAGAAACUGGAAUUAUUGGUUCUUUUUUGUGGGUUUCCGUUCCGGCCUUUGGAGGUUGAUUCGUUGGAUUUCUUUCACCCUUGGCUGGAGCAGUUGAUUUUGGGGGAUUAUUGUUUCUUGAUGAGUCUGUCCUGUGUUUUACAGAAUCUGGAAUUGUUGGUUCUUCUUCGAGGGUUCCAUUUGAUCUUCGGCUGUCGGGUUGGUCCCUUGCUAGGGUUUCUUGAUAAAUUUGUCCUGCGCUUUUCGGAUCUGGAAUCAUUUGUGCUUCUUUCGAGGGAGGUUUCUGUUCUAUCUUUGGUGGUUUAUUUGCUGGAUUUGGGUUGUCUUUGGUUGAAACACUUUGUGAGGUAUUCAACUCAUGCUUCUCAGAUUUUGGAAUUUAUUGUUCUUCGAGGAUUUGCAGUUCUUGGUUCGGUUAAUUGAGGAUUGCGGGGGUAGAUUCGGGUUGAUUGGCACAUCUGUUGUGCUCUUUGAUUCUAUUAGUGUUCUUAAGAGUUGGCUGGAAUUUUCUUUUGGUUUAGCAUUAUUUAUCAUAUGAUUAAAUAGACAGCUUCUUUUUUCCCUGGUUCUAUGGAUUCCAUGUGUUCGGUUGGCGCACGAUUCCUUUCUUUUGAUAUUAUCAUAUAUGGUUGAAGAGGCAUCAUAGUGGUAUCAUUAAGCAGCCUGAAAGUGGUUCUAGUUUUGAUGUAUUUGACCAUGGUUUUCGAGCUUCAGCUGAUGAGAAUACCAAGUGCUGCAGAGGCUGGAGUUAAGAUUGAUUUCUCAUAAAGGGGCUUCUCCACUUGAUUGUGAUAUGUAUCUUAAUUUUUGUUCAUGUAGUGCGAUUUGGCCAAUCUAGUUUGUGGCAAUAUGCGAUCCUAUUUUGCAAAGAUGUGUCCUUCAGCUGUCUCAUCUCCUCAGUAUUUUGUGAUUUGUUGUUGUUGCCGGAGGGAUUGUGUUUAUGAGGAGUUAACAUUAAUUUUACCAUGGGCUUUUGCGAUAUUCGUGAUGAGUAUCGUAUUGUAUUUCCUUCUAUUCUUCGCUGCCUGGAGUUUUCAGAACUUGCUUAACGGUGACAUUUACAUCCUUUUUCGGCAGUUGCUUCUAUUAUAUGGUGGUCUGCUGCUGAAGAUUGUGUACUUUGGCAUAAGUGGCUGCACUUUUGUUGGGUUGUUGGUUGCUAUAUAAUGUAUCCAAUCACUUCAAGCAAGCAAUUAGAGUUUGAUGUGUAUGUUUUCAUCUUCUGCCGCACCUCAAACAAGCAAUUAGAGUUUGAAUGGCAACCCUUUUUUUCAUCUCUUGGAUAUUUUUUCAUUCAUUCAUUUAUAUAUUUGUGUACCUAUUUAUCUUUGUUAUUUCUAUAUAUUUUAUUUAGUUUAAGGUUGUUUAUUCAGGUUAUGAGAGAUUAUUCUUGUUUAGGGAUGCCCCGGUAUUGAGUACUUUGCAAGGUGGUUCGUAUUUGAAUUGCUUUAUUCUGUCGUGCUUAUUUAAUUGUAGGUUUCAUUAUUUAGCAAUUGGCGCAGAUGUUUCCCUUCCAUCUUGUUUAGAAAUUUAUGGUUGGGAUAGUGAUUCUGAUUGUGUUUCUGAUACAUGGUGUCAUUUUAUUCAUACUCCUGAUGAGGUAGAUGUCAAUUAUUACUUGUUGCAGUUACUCAGGGGCUACAUUGGUUGGGAUAAUUUAAGGCAAGGUACCAUAAAUAUCGUAAAGGACUUGUUUUUUGAGUUAUGGUUUUUCUCGAUUUGAUAGCGAUUCUAUUUGUGUAAAUCAACAUUUUUUAUGAACAUUUUGUUUAGGAUGGAUGUUCGUUGCUUUCUGUAUUAUUAUUGCAAUCUUGCAGCCAUGUUUCUUGGAGGUUCUUGGAUGCACUUUUUUGUGGGGGAUCUGAGGUUUUUAUUAUCUCUUGUUUUCCAUAUGUAUGGUUGUCUCUAUUUGCUGACUUUUAUCUUCUCAAUAGUAUGUUAUUUAGGAUCAGAUUUGAACCUAAAUUGUCAUCAGAAUUAAUGUGCUAUAGAUCGUCAAUGUUUGCGAGAGAUGAUUUGUAUAGAGGCGGUCGCUCGCCUUUGGUGGUAUUAUUGAUCGUAUUGAUAAUCUUUUUUCCUUUAGCCUUGCUUGUCAGAAUGUGUUAAUCAUCACUCCUGCUGUUACAACUUUUCAUGGUCUUGCACUUCUGGUGAAACUUAAGGGUUUCUUGAUAUUUUGUGGUUAAUUCGUCGGAUUUUGAGUUAUUGUCGGUCGAUGCACUUGCCUUGGAGUGAUCUCGAAUUCUUGAUGAAUUCAUCAAUUAUUUGCUCUUCUUCAAAGGUUUCUGUUUGAUUCGUAGGAUUUUGUUUAUCUUUGCCUGUUGGAGUUGAUUUGGAAUGAUUAGGUUUCUUCAUGAAUCCAUCCUACGUUUUACAAUUCUGGAAUUAUUGGUUCUUUUUCGUGCGUUUCCGUUCCGGCAUUUGGUGGCUGAUACGUUGGAUUUCUUUCAUCCUAGGCCGGUGCAAAUGAUUUGGGGGGGAUUAUUGUUUCUUGAUGAAUACGUUUUACAGAAUCGGGAAUUAUCGGUUCUUUUUCGUAGGUUUCCCGUUCCGUCCUUUGGUGGCUAAUUUGUUGGAUUUGUUUCAUCCCUAGGCUGGAGCAGUUGAUUUCGGGGGAUUAUUGUUUGUUGAUGAAUCCAUCCUGCACUUUACAGAAUCUGGAAUUGUUGGUUCUUCUUUGAGGUUUCCGUUUACAGAAUCCGUCCUUUGGUUCUUCUUUGGAUUUCGGGGGAUUAUUUAAUUGUAGAUUUCAUUAUUUGGCAAUUGGCUCAUAUGUUUCACUUCCAUCUUGUUUAGAAAUUUAUGGUUGGGAUAGUGAUUCUGAUAGCGAUUCUGAUAUAUCAGGUGCCAUUUUUUAUUCGUACUCUUGAUGAGUUAGAUGGCAAUUAUUACUUGUUCUUGCAGUUACUCAGGGACUACAUUGGUUGUUAUAAUCGUUAAGGCAAGGUACCAUUAAUUUUGUGAAGGACUUGUUCUUUGAGUUAUGGUUUUUCUGCAUUUGAUAGCGAGUCUAAUUGUGUAAAUCUGCAAUUUGAUAGCCUAAAAAUAGUUCUAGUUUUGAUGUAUUUUACCAUGGUUUUCGAGCUUCAGUUGAUGAGAAUACCAAGUACUGCAGAGGCUGGAGUUAAGAUUGAUUUCUCAUGAGGGGGCUUCUCCACUUGAUUGUGAUAUGUAUCUUAAUUUUUGUUCAUGUAGUGUGAUUUGGCCAAUCUAGUUUGUGGCAAGCAGACUCAACAGAUCAUAGCUUGGAAACAAGACUUAGAAAAGGCACUGAGCAAACACCGGUGUAUAUGCGAUCCUAUUUUGCAAAGAAGAUGUGUCCUUCAGCUGUCUCAUCUCUUCAGUAUUUUGUGAUUUGUUGUUGCCAGGGGGAUUGUGUUUAUGAGGAGCUAACAUUAAUUUUACCAUAGGCUUUUGCGAUAUUCGUGAUGAGUACCGUAUUGUAUUUCCUUCUAUUCUUCACUGCCUGGAGUUUUCAGAACUUGUUUGCCGGUGACAUUUACAUCCUUUUUCGGCAGUUGCUUCUAUUAUAUGGUGGUCUGCUGCUGAAGAUUGUGUACUUUGGCAUAAGUGGCUGCACUUUUGUUGGGUUAUUGGUGGCUAUAUACUGUUUCCAAUCAAUUCUUGAAGCAUGCCCAAGUUUAAUGUGUAUGUCUUCAUCUUCUGCUGCAACUCAAGCAAGCAACUAGAGUUUGAAUGCAACCCUUUUUUACACCUCUUGGAUAUUUUUUCAUUCGUUCAUUUGUAUAUUUGUGUACCUAUUUAUUUUUGUUAUUUAUAUAUAUUUUAUUUAUUUUAAGGUUGUUCAAUCAGGUUAUGAGAGAUUCUUCUUGUUUAGUGAUGCCCCUGUAUAGAGUACUUUGCAAGGUUGUUCGUAUUUGAAUUGCUUUAUUCUGUCAUGCCUAUUUAAUUGCAGGUUGCAUUAUUUGGCAAUUGGCUCAUAUGUUUCACUUCCAUCUUGUUUAGAAAUUUUGUGAUGCCCCUGUAUAAAGUACUUUGCAAGACUUGGUUCAUAUUCGUAUUGCUUUAUUCUGUCAUUCUUUUUUGCAUUUAGGUUUCAUUAUUUAGCGGUUGGCUCACAUGUUUCACUUUCAUCUUGUUUAGAAUGGUUCCUGUAAUGGAUGAUUCACCAAGGGGUUAUUAUUUGCCAAAUCAAUGAUAUGGAGGAUUGUGCCAUUGAUAGUGGUUAGAUUUAUACUUAUUGCUAAUUAAUUUUUUUAAUUGUAGUUGUUACUUGUCCUGUUGCUCUCUUUCCAAGAGAUUGUAUUACUGGACAUAUUCCUUCAAUUUUUUUGUGUAGUUGGUAGGUUUUGUUAAUGUUGAUUUCUUAUCUACUGAUAUUUUCCCUGGCCUCCUUGUUCAUUAGUGAUCAAACUUGUUUUCAUGGGUUGCUGACAUUUGGUAGGACAUGAUGAUGGAUGGGGUUUUUUCAUACUCGAUAGCGAUUUAGAUUUUGUCAAUUAGUAUUAGUCGUUCCUUGUAGACGUUAUAUUGAGGAUUGCAUUGAUCUAUUUCUUUUUAUUUUUGCAGUCUUGUGGGAGGUUCUGUUUGAGGCACUUUUAAUUCAGGGAGUUUUAUCUAACAUAUUCUAUUUUAACGAUUUUAAAUAAUACCUGCAUAUAUCUAUGUCUUCCAUGCCCAUUAUUCGGAGAUUGGAAUUAAAGACCAUGAUUUAUCGAUGCUUGAAAGAGAUGAUUUUGUACAGAGGGGGUCAAGGUAUGCUGAACCGACCCAGUGCCGACAGGCACCGGUACGGUACAGCAUAUAAAAACGAUUCCGUACUUGUACCGGUGCGAUCCAGGCUGGUUCGCAAUGCCCCAAAAUCAUUUUACCCGCGUGUCCACGCGUGGGGCAGUUAACUGUGCCUGCGGCCGAUUCUUAAGCUGGGAAUCGUGCCCGCGCGAGGGGUGGCACGCCCACGAGGGCUGCCAGCCCGCGUGGGCUAUUUAAUGCUAUAGAGUGGCAUUUAUGGUAUGCUGUACCGGUUGGUACCGGACGUACCGUAUCCGUAUCGAUGGGUACCGGUAUCGGUACGCUAGUGUCGGUACGUUUGGCAUACCGCAUACCGUACUGUACCGUCACUCGGUACGCCUAUGCUAGUGUGGCACCGGUACGGGAUUUGGUACAGGUACGACGAACCUUGGUGGCAUUAAAUGCCAUUCUGUGGCAUUUGUUUUUUAUUUUUUUGCUUUUUUUUUUCCUCUCCUUUUUAGAUAUUUUCUCUCCUUUUUAAUUAACAACUUGCUCUUUUUAUAAAUGUUGUCUUGUCGUAUAAUCUGUUAAUAGGUUGAUGAUGUUUGGAGUCGGAGGAUAUGAUAUUUGCGAAGGUGAUAUGUCUAACUUGGUAGCAUUUUAGGUUAUACCUGUUGGUCUGUUUUCUCGAAUAUAUUCUGUUUGGUAACUAGUGUCUAUUCUGCUACUAUUUGUCUUGGAAGAUGUUUUGGUUGAGAUGACUCUGUCACGAGGUUUGAAACAUUCUUUUUUACCUUCAUUUUGUUUUAAGUCAUUUUUUCUUGGAAGUAUGUUUCACACUUGUUGACCAUUGCAUUCUUGAUGGCCUGUUUUCUAUUCAGUGGAUGGAAUUGAAGGCCAGACGAUGACAGGAGUUAAGGCCAUAGGUUUCAAUGCUUGGGAGAGUACUUGCAUAGAGUAGGUUUCAACUUUCUCUCUUCAACUUGUUUUUUAUAUGCAUUGUUGUUAACUUCUUCUGACUUUUGUCUUCUCAAUUGUCCUAGACUUGAAAUCUAACUUGUUAGUGGACAUACGGCACUAGGUUGUCAAUAUUUGGGAGAGAUGUUUUGUAUACAGUAUUAAUGAUUAUAUUAGCAAGUAUUUUUUUUGAUCCUUGUUAAUCAGGAUAUAAGUAUAUCAUCACAUUUCUGGAUGGUGUAAUCUUUUUGAAGGGUGCAUUUUGCACGCCAUAGUGAUUUAGGUUUGCAUUGACUAGCUUUCCUUUCUCUCAUGGAUGUUCUCCCAUGGAUAAAUGUUGAUCAACACCUUGUUACUGUUGCAGCUUUGAUGAAGUUUUUCCUCAUGGGGGUUCUGAAAUGUUCUUUUUAAUUUGGCUCUUAUAAACUCUUUCCUUUUAAAAUACUCUGGCGUUCUACUUUCUUGUUCUUAACCAGAAAUCAGACUUACAUACCAAGCUGUGAUCAGAUUUAGGAUGUGUUGUCAUUCUGGAAAGAAUAUUACAGAUAUGAGUUGUAUGGAGUUUUUAAAAGGCUUGCAUUAGUGGAGACACUACAUCUCUGGUCUCGCGCAAUGGGUUGAUGAUAUUUGGUGGAUAUGAUUUUAAUGAGGGGUUUUUUCACCUUCGCGAGUGAUUUGGCUUUUUCAAUUAGAAUUACUUUUGCCUUCUUGUUGUUUUAUUGAGGAUUAUGUUGAUCUUUUUCUUGUUAUUUUUGCAGUCUUGCGAGAGGUUUCAUUUGAGGCACUUUUAAUUCAGGUUCUAUCUUAAUACCGUUUUAACUCAACACUUCUAAGUAAUUCUUGUUCCCAUGGUUUUUUGUUAGUCAGUGGUUGAACUAAUGACUAUGGAUUAUUGAUCUUCGGAAGCGAAUUUAUAUAGAGGUGGUUUUACAUCUUCGAUAGUGAUUUUGAUGUAUGAAGUUUCUAUGCUCUUGAUGAGGUAUAUGCCAGUUAUUACUCAUUUUUCGGUUAUGUCUAACUUGGUUGCAUUUUAGGUUAUACCUGUUGGUCUGCUUUCUCGAAUAUAUUCUGUUUAGUAACCAUUGUCUAUUCUACUAGUAUUUUAGUCUUGGAAGAUGUUUUGGUUGAGAUAACUCUGUCACGAGGUUUGAAACAUUCUUUUUUACCUUCAUUUUUUUUAAGUCACUUUUUCUUGGAAGUAUGUUUCACCCUUGUUGACCAUUGCAUUCUUGAUGGCCUGUUUUCUAUUCGGUGGAUGGAAUUGAAGGCCAGAUGAUGACAGGAGUUAAGGCCAAAAGGUUCAAUGCUUGGGAGAGUACUUGCAUAGAGGAGGUUUCAACUCUCUCUCUUCAACUCGUUUUUUAUAUGCACUGUUGUUAACUUCUUGCUGACUUUUGUCUUCUCAAUUGUCCUAGGCUUGAAAUCUCACUUGUCAGUGGACGUACGGCACUAAGUUGUCAAUAUUUGGGAGAGAUGUUUUGUAUAUAGUAUUAAUGAUUAUAUUAGCAGGUAUUUUUUUUGAUCCUUGUUAAUCAGGAUAUAUGUAUAUCAUCACAUUUCUGGAUGGUGUAAUCUUUUUGAAGGGUGCAUUUUGCAUGCGAUAAUGAUUUAGGUUUGCAUUGACUAACCUUCCUUUCUCUCAUGGAUGUUCUACCAUGGGUAAAUGUUGAUCAACACCUUGUUAUUGUUGCAGCUUUGAUGAAGUUUUUAUUGGAUAAAGUUCUUGCUCAUGGGGGUUCUGAAAUUUUUCUUUUCAAUUUGGCUCUUAUAAACUCUUUCCUUUUAAAAUACUCUGUCGUUCUACUUUCUUGUUCUUAACCAGAAAUCAGACUUACAUACCAAGCUGUGAUCAGAUUUAGGAUGUGUUGUCAUUCUGGAAAGAAUAUUACAGAUAUGAGUUGUAUGGAGUUUUUAAAAGGCUUGCAUUAGUGGAGACACUACAUCUCUGGUCUCGCGCAAUGGGUUGAUGAUAUUUGGUGGAUAUGAUUUUAAUGAGGGGUUUUUUCACCUUCGGGAGUGAUUUGGCUUUUUCAAUUAGAAUUACUUUUGCCUUCUUGUUGUUUUAUUGAGGAUUAUGUUGAUCUUUUUCUUGUUAUUUUUGCAGUCUUGCGAGAGGUUUCAUUUGAGGCACUUUUAAUUCAGGUUCUAUCUUAAUACCGUUUUAACUCAACACUUCUAAGUAAUUCUUGUUCCCAUGGUUUUUUGUUAGUCAGUGGUUGAACUAAUGACUAUGGAUUAUUGAUCUUCGGAAGCGAAUUUAUAUAGAGGUGGUUUUACAUCUUCGAUAGUGAUUUUGAUGUAUGAAGUUUCUAUGCUCUUGAUGAGGUAUAUGCCAGUUAUUACUCAUUUUUCGGUUAUGUCUAACUUGGUUGCAUUUUAGGUUAUACCUGUUGGUCUGCUUUCUCGAAUAUAUUCUGUUUAGUAACCAAUGUCUAUUCUACUACUAUUUUAGUCUUGGAAGAUGUUUUGGUUGAGAUAACUCUGUCACGAGGUUUGAAACAUUCUUUUUUACCUUCAUUUUUUUUUAAGUCACUUUUUCUUGGAAGUAUGUUUCACCCUUGUUGACCAUUGCAUUCUUGAUGGCCUGUUUUCUAUUCAGUGGAUGGAAUUGAAGGCCAGACGAUGACAGGAGUUAAGGCCAAAAGGUUCAAUGCUUGGGAGAGUACUUGCAUAGAGGAGGUUUCAACUCUCUCUCUUCAACUCGUUUUUUAUAUGCACUGUUGUUAACUUCUUGCUGACUUUUGUCUUCUCAAUUGUCCUAGACUUGAAAUCUCACUUGUCAGUGGACGUACGGCACUAAGUUGUCAAUAUUUGGGAGAGAUGUUUUGUAUAUAGUAUUAAUGAUUAUAUUAGCAGGUAUUUUUUUUGAUCCUUGUUAAUCAGGAUAUAUGUAUAUCAUCACAUUUCUGGAUGGUGUAAUCUUUUUGAAGGGUGCAUUUUGCAUGCGAUAAUGAUUUAGGUUUGCAUUGACUAACCUUCCUUUCUCUCAUGGAUGUUCUACCAUGGGUAAAUGUUGAUCAACACCUUGUUAUUGUUGCAGCUUUGAUGAAGUUUUUAUUGGAUAAAGUUCUUGCUCAUGGGGGUUCUGAAAUGUUCUUUUUAAUUUGGCUCUUAUAAACUCUUUCCUUUUAAAAUACUCUGUCGUUCUACUUUCUUGUUCUUAACCAGAAAUCAGACUUGCAUACCAAGCUGUGAUCAGAUUUAGGAUGUGUUGUCAUUCUGGAAAGAAUAUUACAGAUAUGAGUUGUAUGGAGUUUUUAAAAGGCUUGCAUUAGUGGAGACACUACAUCUCUGGUCUCGCGCAAUGGGUUGAUGAUAUUUGGUGGAUAUGAUUUUAAUGAGGGGUUUUUUCACCUUCGCGAGUGAUUUGGCUUUUUCAAUUAGAAUUACUUUUGCCUUCUUGUUGUUUUAUUGAGGAUUAUGUUGAUCUUUUUCUUGUUAUUUUUGCAGUCUUGCGAGAGGUUUCAUUUGAGGCUUUUAAUUCAGGUUCUAUCUUAAUACCGUUUUAACUCAACACUUCUAAGUAAUUCUUGUUCCCAUGGUUUUUUGUUAGUCAGUGGUUGAACUAAUGACUAUGGAUUAUUGAUCUUCGGAAGCGAAUUUAUAUAGAGGUGGUUUUACAUCUUCGAUAGUGAUUUUGAUGUUUGAAGUUUCUAUGCUCUUGAUGAGGUAUAUGCCAGUUAUUACUCAUUUUUCGGUUAUGUCUAACUUGGUUGCAUUUUAGGUUAUACUUGUUGGUCUGCUUUCUCGAAUAUAUUCUGUUUAGUAACCAUUGUCUAUUCUACUACUAUUUUAGUCUUGGAAGAUGUUUUGGUUGAGAUAACUCUGUCACGAGGUUUGAAACAUUCUUUUUUACCUUCAUUUUUUUUUAAGUCACUUUUUCUUGGAAGUAUGUUUCACCCUUGUUGACCAUUGCAUUCUUGAUGGCCUGUUUUCUAUUCAGUGGAUGGAAUUGAAGGCCAGACGAUGACAGGAGUUAAGGCCAAAAGGUUCAAUGCUUGGGAGAGUACUUGCAUAGAGGAGGUUUCAACUCUCUCUCUUCAACUCGUUUUUUAUAUGCACUGUUGUUAACUUCUUGCUGACUUUUGUCUUCUCAAUUGUCCUAGACUUGAAAUCUCACUUGUCAGUGGACGUACGGCACUAAGUUGUCAAUAUUUGGGAGAGAUGUUUUGUAUAUAGUAUUAAUGAUUAUAUUAGCAGGUAUUUUUUUUGAUCCUUGUUAAUCAGGAUAUAUGUAUAUCAUCACAUUUCUGGAUGGUGUAAUCUUUUUGAAGGGUGCAUUUUGCAUGCGAUAAUGAUUUAGGUUUGCAUUGACUAACCUUCCUUUCUCUCAUGGAUGUUCUACCAUGGGUAAAUGUUGAUCAACACCUUGUUAUUGUUGCAGCUUUGAUGAAGUUUUUAUUGGAUAAAGUUCUUGCUCAUGGGGGUUCUGAAAUGUUCUUUUUAAUUUGGCUCUUAUAAACUCUUUCCUUUUAAAAUACUCUGUCGUUCUACUUUCUUGUUCUUAACCAGAAAUCAGACUUGCAUACCAAGCUGUGAUCAGAUUUAGGAUGUGUUGUCAUUCUGGAAAGAAUAUUACAGAUAUGAGUUGUAUGGAGUUUUUAAAAGGCUUGCAUUAGUGGAGACACUACAUCUCUGGUCUCGCGCAAUGGGUUGAUGAUAUUUGGUGGAUAUGAUUUUAAUGAGGGGUUUUUUCACCUUCGCGAGUGAUUUGGCUUUUUCAAUUAGAAUUACUUUUGCCUUCUUGUUGUUUUAUUGAGGAUUAUGUUGAUCUUUUUCUUGUUAUUUUUGCAGUCUUGCGAGAGGUUUCAUUUGAGGCUUUUAAUUCAGGUUCUAUCUUAAUACCGUUUUAACUCAACACUUCUAAGUAAUUCUUGUUCCCAUGGUUUUUUGUUAGUCAGUGGUUGAACUAAUGACUAUGGCUUAUUGAUCUUCGGAAGCGAAUUUAUAUAGAGGUGGUUUUACAUCUUCGAUAGUGAUUUUGAUGUUUGAAGUUUCUAUGCUCUUGAUGAGGUAUAUGCCAGUUAUUACUCAUUUUUCGGUUAUGUCUAACUUGGUUGCAUUUUAGGUUAUACUUGUUGGUCUGCUUUCUCGAAUAUAUUCUGUUUAGUAACCAUUGUCUAUUCUACUACUAUUUUAGUCUUGGAAGAUGUUUUGGUUGAGAUAACUCUGUCACGAGGUUUGAAACAUUCUUUUUUACCUUCAUUUUUUUUUAAGUCACUUUUUCUUGGAAGUAUGUUUCACCCUUGUUGACCAUUGCAUUCUUGAUGGCCUGUUUUCUAUUCAGUGGAUGGAAUUGAAGGCCAGACGAUGACAGGAGUUAAGGCCAAAAGGUUCAAUGCUUGGGAGAGUACUUGCAUAGAGGAGGUUUCAACUCUCUCUCUUCAACUCGUUUUUUAUAUGCACUGUUGUUAACUUCUUGCUGACUUUUGUCUUCUCAAUUGUCCUAGACUUGAAAUCUCACUUGUCAGUGGACGUACGGCACUAAGUUGUCAAUAUUUGGGAGAGAUGUUUUGUAUAUAGUAUUAAUGAUUAUAUUAGCAGGUAUUUUUUUUGAUCCUUGUUAAUCAGGAUAUAUGUAUAUCAUCACAUUUCUGGAUGGUGUAAUCUUUUUGAAGGGUGCAUUUUGCAUGCGAUAAUGAUUUAGGUUUGCAUUGACUAACCUUCCUUUCUCUCAUGGAUGUUCUACCAUGGGUAAAUGUUGAUCAACACCUUGUUAUUGUUGCAGCUUUGAUGAAGUUUUUAUUGGAUAAAGUUCUUGCUCAUGGGGGUUCUGAAAUGUUCUUUUUAAUUUGGCUCUUAUAAACUCUUUCCUUUUAAAAUACUCUGUCGUUCUACUUUCUUGUUCUUAACCAGAAAUCAGACUUGCAUACCAAGCUGUGAUCAGAUUUAGGAUGUGUUGUCAUUCUGGAAAGAAUAUUACAGAUAUGAGUUGUAUGGAGUUUUUAAAAGGCUUGCAUUAGUGGAGACACUACAUCUCUGGUCUCGCGCAAUGGGUUGAUGAUAUUUGGUGGAUAUGAUUUUAAUGAGGGGUUUUUUCACCUUCGCGAGUGAUUUGGCUUUUUCAAUUAGCAUUACUUUUGCCUUCUUGUUGUUUUAUUGAGGAUUUUGUUGAUCAUUCUCAUGUUAUUUUCGCAGGCUUGCGAGAAGAUUCAUUUGAGGCACUUUUAAUUCAGGUUCUAUCGUAAUACUGUUUUAACUCGACACUUCUAAAUAAUUCUUGUUCUCGUGGUUUUUUAUUAGUCAGUGAUUGAACUAAAGACCACGGAUUAUUGAUCUUCGAAAGCGAAUUUAUAUAGAGGUGGUUUUACAUCUUCGAUAGUGAUUUUGAUGUAUGAAGUUUCUAUGCUCUUGAUGAGGUAUAUGCCAGUUAUUACUCAUUUUUCGGUUAUGUCUAACUUGGUAGCAUUUUAGGUUAUACCUGUUGGUCUGCUUUCUCGAAUAUAUUCUGUUUAGUAACUAGUGUCUGUUCUACUACUAUUUUAGUCUUGGAAGAUGUUUUGGUUGAGAUGACUCUGUCACGUGGUUUGAAACAUUCUUUUUUACCUUCAUUUUUUUUAAGUCAUUUUUUCUUGGAAGUAUGUUUCACCCUUGUUGACCAUUGCAUUCUUGAUGGCCUGUUUUCUAUUCAGUGGAUGGAAUUGAAGGCCAGACGAUGACAGGAGUUAAGGCCAUAGGUUUCAAUGCUUGGGUGAGUACUUGCAUAGAGGAGGUUUCAACUUUCUCUCUUCAACUCAUUUUUUAUAUGCACUGUUGUUUACUACUUGCUGACUUUUGUCUUCUCAAUUGUCCUAGACUUGAAAUCUCACUUGUCAGUGGACGUACGGCACUAGGUUGUCAGUAUUUGGGAGAGAUGUUUUGUAUAUAGUAUUAAUGAUUAUAUUAGCAGGUAUUUUUUUUGAUCCUUGUUAAUCAGGAUAUAUGUAUAUCAUCACAUUUCUGGAUGGUGUAAUCUUUUUGAAGGGUGCAUUUUGCACGCGAUAAUUAUUUAGGUUUGCAUUGACUAACCUUCCUUUCUCUCAUGGAUGUUCUACCAUGGGUAAAUGUUGAUCAACACCUUGUUAUUGUUGCAGCUUUGAUGAAGUUUUUAUUGGAUAAAGUUCUUGCUCAAGGGGGUCCUGAAAUGUUCUUUUUAAUUUGGCUCUUAAACUCUUUUCUUUUAAAAUACUGUCAUUCUAAUUGCUUGUACUUAACCAGAAAUCAGACUUAAAUACCAAGCUGUGAUCAGAUUUAGGAUGUGUUGUCAUUCUGGGAAGAAUAUUACAGAUAUGAGUUGCAUGGAGGGUGUUUCUCACUUUUUUCUCAAUUCCUUUAUUUUUUCCUUGUUUUCACUUGUGAUGGUAGAUGCUAAUUGUAAUUCCAUUCCUGUUGCAGUUUUUAGAAGGCUUGCAUUAGUGGAGACACUUCAUCGCGAGUAGCGUGUUGAAUGGUGUUCUAGCUUUUUUCUUCUAAAAAAAAAACUUCUAGUAACUGUGUUUGAAUGAAUUAUGUCGUCUGAUCCUUUUCCUGUCACCUUGUUUGUGUUUCAGUCUGGUCUCGCGCAAUGGGCUGAUGAUAUUUGGUGGAUACAAUUUUAAUGAGGGGGUUUUUCACCUUUGCGAGUGAUUUGGCUUUUUCAAUUAGCAUUACUUUUGCCUUCUUGUUGUUUUAUUGAGGAUUUUGUUGAUCAUUCUCAUGUUAUUUUCGCAGGCUUGCGAGAAGAUUCAUUUGAGGCACUUUUAAUUCAGGUUCUAUCUUAAUACUGUUUUAACUCGACACUUCUUAAUAAUUCUUGUUCUCGUGGUUUUUUAUUAGUCAGUGAUUGAACUAAAGACCACGGAUUAUUGAUCUUCGAAAGCGAAUUUAUAUAGAGGUGGUUUUACAUCUUCGAUAGUGAUUUUGAUGUAUGAAGUUUCUAUGCUCUUGAUGAGGCCAGACGAUGACAGGAGUUAAGGCCAUAGGUUUCAAUGCUUGGGAGAGUACUUGCAUAGAGGAGGUUUCAACUUUCUCUCUUCAACUUGUUUUUUAUAUGCACUGUUGUUAACUUCUUGCUGACUUUUGUCUUCUCAAUUGUCCUAGACUUGAAAUCUCACUUGUCAGUGGAUGUACGGCACUAGGUUGUCAAUAUUUGGGAGAGAUGUUUUGUAUAUAGCAUUAAUGAUUAUAUUAGCAGGUAUUUUUUUUGAUCCUUGUUAAUCAGGAUAUAUGUAUAUCAUCACAUUUCUGGAUGGUGUAAUCUUUUUGAAGGGUGCAUUUUGCAUGCGAUAAUGAUUUAGGUUUGCAUUGACUAACCUUCCUUUCUCUCAUGGAUGUUCUACCAUGGGUAAAUGUUGAUCAACACCUUGUUAUUGUUGCAGCUUUGAUGAAGUUUUUAUUGGAUAAAGUUCUUGCUCAAGGGGGUCCUGAAAUGUUCUUUUUAAUUUGGCUCUUAAACUCUUUUCUUUUAAAAUACUUUGUCAUUCUAAUUGCUUGUACUUAACCAGAAAUCAGACUUAAAUACCAAGCUGUGAUCAUAUUUAGGAUGUGUUGUCAUUCUGGAAAGAAUAUUACAGAUAUGAGUUGUAUGGAGGGUGUUUCUCACAUUUUUCUCAAUUCCUUUAUUUCUUCCUUGUUUUCACUUGUGAUGGUAGAUGCUAAUUGUAAUUCCAUUGCUGUUGCAGCUUUUAGAAGGCUUGCAUUAGUGGAGACACUUCAUCGCGAGUAGCAUGUUGAAUGGUCUUCUAGCUUUUUUCUUUUAAAAAACAAAACUUCUAGUAACUGUGUUUGAAUGAAUUAUGUCAUCAUCUUGGUGAUCCUUUUCCUGUCACCUUGUUUGUGUUUCAGUCUGGUCGCAAUGGGUUGAUGAUAUUUGGUGGAUACAAUUUUAAUGAGGGGGUUUUUCACCUUUGCGAGUGAUUUGGCUUUUUCAAUUAACAUUACUUUUGUCUUCUUGUUGUUUUAUUGAGGAUUUUGUUGAUCAUUCUCUUGUUAUUUUUGCAGGCUUGCGAGAGGUUUCAUUUGAGGCACUUUUAAUUCAGGUUCUAUCUUAAUACUGUUUUAACUCAACACUUCUAAAUAAUUCUUGUUCCCAUGGUUUUUUGUUAGUCAGUGAUUGAACUAAAGACCACGGAUUAUUGAUCUUCGAAAGCGAAUUUAUAUAGAGGUGGUUUACAUUUUCGAUAGUGAUUUUGAUGUAUGAAGUUUCUAUGCUCUUGAUGAGGUAUAUGCCAGUUAUUACUCAUUUUUCGGUUAUGUCUAACUUGGUUGCAUUUUAGGUUAUACCUGCUGGUCUGCUUUCUCGAAUAUAUUCUGUUUAGUAACCAGUGUCUAUUCUACUACUAUUUUAGUCUUGGAAGAUGUUUUGGUUGAGAUGACUCUGUCACGAGGUUUGAAACAUUCUUUUUUACCUUCAUUUUUUUUGAAGUCAUUUUUUCUUGGAAGUAUGUUUCACCCUUGUUGACCAUUGCAUUCUUGAUGGCCUGUUUUCUAUUCAGUGGAUGGAAUUGAAGGCCAGACGACGACAAGAGUUAAAGGCCAUAGGUUUCAAUGCUUGGGAGAGUACUUGCAUAGAGGAGGUUUCAACUCUCUCUUCAACUCGUUUUUUAUAUGCACUGUUGUUAACUUCUUGCUGACUUUUGUCUUCUCAGUUGUCCUAGACUUGAAAUCUCGCUUGUCAGUGGACGUACGGCACUAGGUUGUCAAAUAUUUGGGAGAGAUGUUUUGUAUAUAGUAUUAAUGAUUAUAUUAGCAGGUAUUUUUUUUGAUCCUUGUUAAUCAGGAUAUAUGUAUAUCAUCACAUUUCUGGAUGGUGUAGUCUUUUUGAAGGGUGCAUUUUGCACGGAAUAAUGAAUUAGGUUUGCAUUGACUAACCUUCCUUUCUCUCAUGGAUGUUCUACCAUGGAUAAAUGUUGAUCAACACCUUGUUGUUGUUGCAGCUUUGAUGAAGUUUUUAUUGGAUAAAGUUCUUGCUCAAGGGGGUCCUGAAAUGUUCUUUUUAAUUUGGCUCAAGGGGAUGCUAAUUGGCCUCGGUGGUCUCUAUCACCAUUUGCUGAUUCUUGCUUUCUCGAUUUCUUUUUUUCUUCAUAGUUUUCACUUGUCGUGGUUGAUGCUAAUUGUCAUUUCUAUUGCUGUUGCAGUUUUUCAGAUGGUUGCAUUAGUUGUGUGUUGUGUUGAAUGGUGGUCUAGCUUUUUUAUUUUUUAGGGAAAAAAACUUUUGGUAGAUUUGGUUGGCGGAAUGCUGUCAUUGUUUUGGUGAUCCUUUCCUGUCGGCUGGUUUUUGUGUCAGUCAGGUCUCGCACGAUGUGUUGAUGACAUUUGGAGGGUAUGAUCUUUAAUUCAAGGGGCUCUUUCCAACUUAGUUCUAUUUUCACUCAACACUUCUAAAUAUUGCCUGUUGGCUCCAUAUACCUUUGGCCCGGUUGUUAAUCAGUGAUCGGAAUUAAAGACCAGGAUUAUCGUUGUUCGAAAGAGAUGAUUUGUAUAGAGGGGGUUUGUAAAGCCUUUGAUAGUGAUUCUGAUAUAUGAAGUGUCAUUUUAUUCGUACUCUUGAUGAGGUAGAUGUCAAUUAUUACUUCUUGUUGCAGUUACUUGGGCUACAUUGGUUGGGAUAUUCGUUAAGGCAUGGUCCCAUGAAUUCUGUAAAGGCCUUGUUGUUUGAGUUAUGGUUUUUCUGCAUUUGAUAGCAAUUCUAAUUGUGUAAAUCAGCAUUUUUUGUAUGAACAUUUUGUUUAGGAUGGAUGCUCGUUGCUUUCUGUAUUAUUAUUGCACUGUUGCAGGCACGUUUCUUGGAGGCACUUUUUCGUUGGGGAUCUGAGGUUAUUUUUAUCUCUUGUUUUCCAUACGUUUGGUUGUCUCCAUUUGCUGACUUUUAUCGUCUCAAUUGUCAUUUAGGAUCAGAUUUGAAACUAAAAUGUCAUCGGAAUUAAGGUGAUAGAUUGCCAUUGUUUGGGAGAGAGAAUUUGUAUAGAGGCAGUUGCUCACCUUUGGUGCUUUUCAUGGUCUUGCACUGGUGGUGAAACUCCUGCCCCGCUCCCCCGCACCCCCCCUCUCUCUCUCUUCAUUGUAAAUUUUGUAUUCUCAUAUUAGUCUGUUAAUCAGUGAUAUGUUCUGGGGUUUGGAGUUUAGUGGACAUGAUAUUUAUGAAUCUUAGACAUGUUGUAUGCAUUUUGUUAAUCAGUGUGUUGACCUGUUAUUCUAGAUUGAUGAAAGUUUAAUUGGCAUGCUCUUUAUAACGGGCGUAAUUGUGAGUUGAUCAUGAUUUAGAUUGUGUUUAUGAGCUCUUUUUCUUGGUGACAUUCUAUUCAGAGUAAGUGUUGGUUAUAAAUCCUGAUAUUAUUGCAGUCUUGUGGGUUCGAAGACUGAAUACGUGAUUUAAAAAGGUUAUAAGUUGCUGAAUAUCAGGAGAUGUGUUAAAGAGGGGUUCUUGUCUUUUUGUUGAUUGGCAUUUUUUUAAGUUUUAUU